rnacentral:lncRNA from 1 species
UAUCAAUGAUACCGCUGUCAUUUUGUCAAUAGCUGACUGCACUGGCCACAUUUACCUGAUGGAGAAAAGUCAUUCCGAUGUCAUUUUAAAUCAGAUUGGUCCAUGUUAUACACGAGAGAAACCCUAAUUCAAUUAUCUAUGGCAUGACAUUCUCCUAUUUUACAAAAAACGCACUGAUUUUCAGUAAAUUGACGAAAAGUCGACCUACCCUAUGUUUAUUUUGGAUAAUUUGAACCAGA